rnacentral:rRNA from 1 species
CAGCAGCCGCGGGAACACGUAGGUGGCAAGCGUUGUCCGGAAUUAUUGGGCGUAAAGGGCUCGCAGGCGGUUCUAUAAGACAGAUGUGAAAUCCCCGGGCUCAACCUGGGAACUGCAUUUGUGACUGUAGAGCUGGAGUGCGGCAGAGGGGGAUGGAAUUCCGCGUGUAGCAGUGAAAUGCGUAGAUAUGCGGAGGAACACCGAUGGCGAAGGCAAUCCCCUGGGCCUGCACUGACGCUCAUGCACGAAAGCGUGGGGAGCAAACAGGAUUAGAUACCCCGGUAGUCCCUGUCUCUUAUAC